AGGAGGAUCAGCCCCAGUGGCGGGGCAGCUCUGGGAACCUGGAUUCAGCUCCGGCAGUAACCCCGGAGGUCUCCGUCUGCAGGGCCUGGAGGCUCCGGGGCGGG
rfam:Canis lupus familiaris chromosome 14, whole genome shotgun sequence.